GAUGAACGCUAGCGGCAGGCCUAAUACAUGCAAGCCGAGGGGUAUAUUACUUUCGGGUAAUAGAGACCGGCGCACGGGUGCGUAACGCGUAUGCAACCUACCCAUUACAAGGGGAUAGCCCGGAGAAAUCCGGAUUAAUACCUUAUAGUACUAUAGAGUGGCAUCAUUUAAUAGUUAAAGAUUUAUCGGUAAUGGAUGGGCAUGCGUAUGAUUAGAUAGUUGGUGAGGUAACGGCUCACCAAGUCCACGAUCAUUAGGGGUUCUGAGAGGAUGAUCCCCCACACUGGCACUGAGAUACGGGCCAGACUCCUACGGGAGGCAGCAGUAGGGAAUAUUGGUCAAUGGGUGAGAGCCUGAACCAGCCAUGCCGCGUGCAGGAAGACGGCCUUCUGGGUUGUAAACUGCUUUUAUAUAGGAAGAAAAUGUCUCUUGCGAGAGAUACUGACGGUACUAUAAGAAUAAGCACCGGCUAACUCCG
rnacentral:rRNA from 1 species